AUCCUUCGGCUCAUGCGUGUGAUGAUUGGGUGUUCAUAUCUUAUAAUACAUGAGAUGUGGCUCCCUCAAACCUUGUUACGAUGUGGGCACAUUACCUGUCUGAUG